UGGGGAAUAUUGCACAAUGGGGGAAACCCUGAUGCAGCGACGCCGCGUGAGCGAAGAAGGCUUUCGAGUCGUAAAGCUCUGUCCUAUGAGAAGAUAAUGACGGUAUCAUAGGAGGAAGCACUGGCUAAAUACGUGCCAGCAGCCGCGGUAAUACGUUUGGGGCGAGCGUUGUCCGGAAUUAUGCGGCGUAAAGGGUACGUAGGUGGUUUUUUAAGUAAGGUGUCAAAGCGUGGAGCUUAACUCCAUUAAGCACUUGAAACUGAAAGACUUAAGUGAAGGAGAGGAAAGUUGAAUUCCUAGUGUAGCGGUGAAAGGCGUGGAUAUUAGGAGGAAUACCGGUGGAGAAAGCGACUUGCUGGACUUUUACUGACGCUCUGGUACGAAAGCGUGGGGAGCAAACAGG
rnacentral:rRNA from 1 species